AAUCUAGGGUUUAGAGCGGGCUCUGCUGUCUGGAUUUCAAGUAGCUUCAAUCGAAAAUGCCUAAGCAAAUUCAUGAGAUCAAAGACUUCCUUCUCACUGCCAGAAGGAAAGAUGCACGUUCGGUGAAGAUCAAGAAGAGCAGAGAUGUAGUUAAGUUCAAGGUCCGUUGCUCCAAGUACUUGUACACAGUUUGUGUGUCCGAUGCCGAGAAGGCUGACAAGUUGAAGCAGUCCCUUCCUCCAGCCUAAGCAAAUUCAUGAGAUCAAAGACUUCCUUCUCACUGCCAGAAGGAAAGAUGCACGUUCGGUGAAGAUCAAGAAGAGCAGAGAUGUAGUUAAGUUCAAGGUCCGUUGCUCCAAGUACUUGUACACACUUUGUGUGUCCGAUGCCUAGAUGGCUGACAAGUUGAAGCAGUCCCUUCCUCCAGCCUAAGCAUAUUCAUGAGAUCAAAGACUUCCUUCUCACUGCCAGAAGGAAAGAUGCACGUUUGGUGAAGAUCAAGAAGAGCAGAGAUGUAGUUAAGUUCAAGGUCCGUUGCUCCAAGUACUUGUACACACUUUGUGUGUCCGAUGCCGAGAAGGCUGACAAGUUGAAGCAGUCCCUUCCUCUAGCCUAAGCAAAUUCAUGAGAUCAAAGACUUCCUUCUCACUGCCAGAAGAAAAGAUGCACGUUCGGUGAAGAUCAAGAAGAGCAGAGAUGUAGUUAAGUUCAAGGUCCGUUUCUCCAAGUACUUGUACACACUUUGUGUGUCCGAUGCAGAGAAGGCUGACAAGUUGAAGCAGUCCCUUUCUCCAGCCUAAGCAAAUUCAUGAGAUCAAAGACUUCCUUCUCACUGCCA